rnacentral:lncRNA from 1 species
AUUGGUGAGAGAGAUGAGAAGACGAGAGAUCGUGAGAAGAGAUGAAAGAGAUAAUGCCAAAAAAAUAAAAUUAAAGUGAAUCAUUUUUGUCCGUCAGAUUGAGUAUAUCAACGGUGGAGAUCAAAUAUAAUAGCUAUCCUCACCGUCUUGUUUUAACCAAUAAGAAAUUUUUCGCUUUGUUUAAUUAAUUGGCCAAUGAAAAAAAAGGAAAAAGAUUAACAAAAGAUUGUGUUAUAACCACUGGAUUAAAAGUAAUCAAUGGUCAUAGAUUAACUAAUCAAAAACUGUUUUUUAUUUAAUAGUUGUCUUGAAAAUUGUAAUUUUAUUAUU